rnacentral:rRNA from 1 species
UGGCUCAGGAUGAACGCUGGCGGCGUGCCUAACACAUGCAAGUCGAGCGGUAUAUAGUGGAAUGAAACUUCGGUCGAGUGAAGCUAUAGAGAGCGGCGGACGGGUGAGUAACGCGUAGGCAACCUGCCCCAUGCAGAGGGAUAGCCUCGGGAAACCGGGAUUAAAACCUCAUAACGCGGGGAGUUCACAUGGACUUCUCGCCAAAGAUUCAUCGGUAUGGGAUGGGCCUGCGUCUGAUUAGCUAGUUGGUGAGGUAACGGCUCACCAAGGCGACGAUCAGUAGCCGACCUGAGAGGGUAAUCGGCCACAUUGGAACUGAGACACGGUCCAAACUCCUACGGGAGGCAGCAGUGGGGAAUAUUGCACAAUGGGCGAAAGCCUGAUGCAGCAACGCCGCGUGAGCGAUGAAGGCCUUUGGGU